rnacentral:rRNA from 1 species
CCUACGGGUGGCAGCAGUGAGGAAUAUUGGUCAAUGGACGAGAGUCUGAACCAGCCAAGUAGCGUGAAGGAUGACUGCCCUAUGGGUUGUAAACUUCUUUUAUAUGGGAAUAAAAUGUUCCACGUGUGUGAUUUUGUAUGUACCAUAUGAAUAAGGAUCGGCUAACUCCGUGCCAGCAGCCGCGGUAAUACGGAGGAUCCGAGCGUUCUCCGGAUUUAUUGGGUUUAAAGGGAGCGUAGGUGGAUUGUUAAGUCAGUUGUGAAAGUUUGCGGCUCAACCGUAAAAUUGCAGUUGAAACUGGCAGUCUUGAGUACAGGAGAGGUGGGCGGAAUGCGUGGUGUAGCGGUGAAAUGCUUAGAUAUCACGAAGAACUCCGAUUGCGAAGGCAGUUCACUGGACUGCAACUGACACUGAGGCUCGAAAGUGUGGGUAUCAAACAGGAUUAGAUACCCCUGUAGUC